CAGCCAUCAUUUAAAGAAAGCGUAAUAGCUCACUGGUCGAGUCGGCCUGCGCGGAAGAUGUAACGGGGCUAAACCAUGCACCGAAGCUGCGGCAGCGACAUUUAGAUGUUGUUGGGUAGGGGAGCGUUCUGUAAGCCUGUGAAGGUGUGCUGCGAGGCAUGCUGGAGGUAUCAGAAGUGCGAAUGCUGACAUAAGUAACGAUA
rnacentral:rRNA from 1 species